rnacentral:rRNA from 1 species
GAUGAACGCUAGCGGCAGGCCUAACACAUGCAAGUCGAGGGGUAAUUCUGAUAGCAAUAUUGGGAACGACCGGCGCACGGGUGAGUAUCACGUUUGCAACCUACCUCUGACCGGGGGAUAGCCCGGAGAAAUUCGGAUUAAUACCGCAUAAUACCAUGAGAAGGCAUCUUUUUAUGGUUAAAGCUGAGGCGGUCAGAGAUGGGCAUGCGUACCAUUAGCUUGUUGGUGAGGUAACGGCUCACCAAGGCUACGAUGGUUAGGGGGUCUGAGAGGAUGAUCCCCCACACUGGUACUGAGACACGGACCAGACUCCUACGGGAGGCAG